rnacentral:tRNA from 1 species
GCAGUUGUAGCUCAGUGGUAGAGCACAUGCUUAGCAUGCACAGGGUCCUGGGUUCAAUCCCCAGUCCCUCCA